rnacentral:snRNA from 1 species
GUUUUUGCGCAUGGGGCAAUGACGCAGUUAGUGAGGUGAAACCCAGACGUGUCAAUUGUUGGUUAAGACUAUUUACAAAUGAACAUUUAAAAUUAAUUGUAUGACUUAUAUGUU